ACUUGAUGGCUGGCCUCGUUGAAAUAUUUAGGAGAAUGUUUCCAAAGCCGGACAAUAACAUUCCUGAGCUUCAUCUGGUGGGAUUUCUCGCCCUUUUUCAGUGUACGGUUGGGUUAAAAUAUUCAUGUACGUUGGGGUUAAAAUAUCUUAAUUUUGCUUUCAUAUAUGUCGAAAUAUUAAUUGGGUGUUGGUUUUUCUUCGUUUGGUGUCUGUUUCA